CAGUUCGGACUGUAGUCUGCAACCCGACUACACGAAGCUGGAAUCGCUAGUAAUCGCGAAUCAGAAUGUCGCGGUGAAUACGUUCCCGGGUCUUGUACACACCGCCCGUCACACCAUGGGAGUCGGGAAUGCCCGAAGUCAGUGACCCAACCAUAUGGAGGGAGCUGCCGAAGGCAGGUCUGAUAACUGGGGUGAAGUCGUAACAAGGUAAC
rnacentral:rRNA from 1 species